rnacentral:rRNA from 2 species
GUGUAUGGAAUGUCAAAUUUCUAGUAUGAGAAAUUAACGAUUUAAGUCCUUCUUAAAUGAGGCCAUUUACCCAUAGAGGGUGCCAGGCCCGUAUAACGUUAAUGAUUACUAGAUGGCAUUUCCAAAGAGUCGUGUUGCUUGAUAGUGCAGCACUAAGUGGGUGGUAAACUCCAUCUAAAACUAAAUAUAACCAUGAGACCGAUAGUAAACAAGUACCGUGAGGGAAAGUUGAAAAGAACUCUGAAUAGAGAGUUAAAUAGUACGUGAAACUGCUUAGAGGUUAAGCCCGAUGAACCUGAAUAUCCAUUAUAGAAAAUUCAUCAUUAUGAUUUUAAUAUUAAUAAUAUUAUAAUAAUGGUGUGCAUUUUUUCUAUAACGGACAUUGUAAUCUAUUAACAUAAAUAUAUUUAUCAUAAGAUCAAUGAUGCGUAAGUUUAUUCAAAUUAUUUUGCUUGCAAUUUAACAUAGAAUAAAUGCUCUUGAUUUGAUAAAGUGUUGAUAGAUUUAUUGUAUAUAGUGCUUAAAUAUUUAUAUUUUAUAAUAGCAUAUUAAUCAUUGAUUUUUAUGUUUAUUAUAUGCACUUAUAUGAUUAACAAUGCGAAAGAUUCAGGAUACCUUCGGGACCCGUCUUGAAACACGG